rnacentral:rRNA from 1 species
UACGGAGGGGGCAAGCGUUAUCCGGAAUCACUGGGUUUAAAGGGCGCGUAGGCGGCUAAAUAAGUCAGAGGUGAAAGCUUGCAGCUUAACUGCGAAAUUGCCUUUGAUACUGUAUAGCUUGAAAGGAGCUGAGGUCAGCAGAAUGUGGCAUGUAGAGGUGAAAUGCAUAGAUAUGCCAUAGAAUACCAAUUGCGAAGGCAGCUGGCUGGGCUUACUUUGACGCUGAGGCACGAAAGCGUGGGGAUCGAACAGG